CGCUUACCCGCCCCGGGACGGUGACGUGGGCUCCGCGGGCCGUGCCGCCUCGCAUCUGGCCGGCCGAGCGCGCUCUUCCUGCACCCGGCCAGCCCUGCAGCCCUGCAGGAGCUCAGCCGCCUCCCCUCCGCCGCACACACGCCCUUCUUCCCACUCUGUCUCCACGAACGGUUCCUAGAAAUGCGGCCAGGUUCACUCCUCGGUGCCCUGCACUUGUAAACCAAGAAAAAGUGCCAGACAUCAAUUCUAUCUGGCAGCCAUCAAAAGACAUCAGACCACAAAAACUAUACAUUCCUGGACCUCAGGAGGAGCUCUACAGGGAGCCGCAGGAGCCAACCCAAAUGGCUGGGAUACAGCUGCCUCUGCAGUCCACAAUGCAGGCAACUGCAAGUCAUCAACCACUGCUCCCCAGAAUAGGCAGCAGAAAAACAAAGCAGAAUGAAAAACCAAAAGAGUCCUAGAUCCCAGGAAUUCCACCUGUGGAUCCCUCGGAAGACUGGGGAUCGGAUUAAGAAGCCUUGAUCUGGAGUCACAUCCCCCAGAGCAGCCUCCACACUGCUGUCCACCAAAUCUGACGCUGCUACUCAAGCUCUGCAACCUUCGAUGGCUCCCUGCCCUCCCAGGUAAAGGACAAACUGGCCCUGUUCUCACCCGGUUUAUCAGCCAGGCCAGCUCUUUCCCUAAAUCAUUAUGGACUGCAAAACUGUACUGAGAAAAAUAAAAAUUAAAAAUCAGUCA
ensembl:lncRNA